GUGAGGGCACGGUUAGCAAACAAAUGUAGAAGGCAUGCGUUAUUUGUAUAAAAAUACGGUAGUUGAAUCCUGAAAAUGAAACAUUAAGAAAAUAUGUAUGUAGAACUAUCUACAGUAUCAGACCCUUUAUAUGACAUGAUGAAAUGCUUAAAUACAAGAAGCUUUUCUACCUAUAUAAAGUUGCAUGUUAUAGGUUAUAUUAAUUAGGAUUUUUUGGUUUUGAGUAACAGAAACCUAAUUCAAACAAGCUUAAGAAAAAAAAAAGGGUGGCAGGAUUUUGUGGCUUGGUAACUGAAAAACCAAGGCCAAGCUAGAUCCUGGAAGUCAGAGAUGUCAUCAGAACUCUCUUUUUCACUCCCUCAGCUCUGCUUGCCUCUGCUGAUUUCUUCUUUACUUCAUUUUCAGAGCUCUUUCCACUCAGGGGCAAGAUGGUCCCCAGCAGUCUCAAGCUGCCAUGGCCCUUGUAGGCUUCUAUCUAGAAAAUGACAAUGUAUCUUUUCUUACAAUACCAAAAAGUCUCAGGGAGGACACUGAUUAAUCUGUCUUGGGUCACAUUUCUAUCUAGGAACCAUCACUGUGGCCAGGUGGAUGGGGUACUCAGACCAGGCCCAAGUCAUAAGCUCACCAUGAGAAGGCAGGGUCUGCCUUACGGAACCAUCUAGACAUAAGUUGCAUUAACAUGGAACAUGGACUGGAGGGGAGAUGAGAUUCUCCAGAGUACAUUCUGCUAAAUAGAAAAUUAAAAUAUCCCCUAUAGAGUUGCAAAGAUUUAGUGCCUUCUUUCUUUUUAGCCUUUCUCUUUGUGACUUUUUUUCAAGAGAUGGGUUCUCAGGUUCUUGUCUCCAGUAAGAUAGUAGCUGCCCCUCCUUUGUUUUUUUUUAGUAGAGAUUAGAAAUAAGGACUUUAUAGCCUUGCCUGUUCUAAAAGCUCAGAACAAGAAGAGAAAAAGCCCAGUGAUUUUGGAGUUGAGAAGAAACUGGAACUUGACUCCUGAUUCUGUGACCUUGAGCUUCAUAGAGGAACUGAAAUACUCCUGUAUUAAAAGUAAUAUAAACUACAGAAAGUAAAGUUUUCUUGCUGGAGGGGAUAUGCAGAAGAUGGAGUGAGAAAGCAUGAGCAUUAUGGAUAAUAAAGG